GACGAACGCUGGCGGCGUGCUUAACACAUGCAAGUCGAACGAAGAGCGAUGGAAGCUUGCUUCUAUCAAUCUUAGUGGCGAACGGGUGAGUAACGCGUAAUCAACCUGCCCUUCAGAGGGGGACAACAGUUGGAAACGACUGCUAAUACCGCAUACGAUCUAAUCUCGGCAUCGAGGAUAGAUGAAAGGUGGCCUCUACAUGUAAGCUAUCACUGAAGGAGGGGAUUGCGUCUGAUUAGCUAGUUGGAGGGGUAACGGCCCACCAAGGCGAUGAUCAGUAGCCGUGCUGAGAGGAGGAACGGCCCCACUGGGACUGAGACACGGCCCAGACUCCUACGGGAGGCAGCAGUCGGGAAUCUUCCGCAAUGGACGAAAGUCUGACGGAGCAACGCCGCGUGAGUGAUGACGGCCUUCGGGUUGUAAAGCUCUGUUAAUCGGGACGAAAGGCCUUCUUGCGAAUAGGGAGAAGGAUUGACGGUACCGGAAGAGAAAGCCACGGCUAACUACGUG
rnacentral:rRNA from 1 species